rnacentral:rRNA from 1 species
UACAGAGGGUGCAAGCGUUGUUCGGAAUUACUGGGCGUAAAGUGUGCGCAGGCGGCCGAGCAAGUCGAGUGUGAAAUCCCCGGGCUUAACUUGGGAAUUGCGCUCGAAACUACUUGGCUGGAGUGUGGCAGAGGGGGGUGGAAUUCCACGUGUAGCGGUGAAAUGCGUAGAGAUGUGGAGGAACACCAAUGGCGAAGGCAGCCCCCUGGGCCAACACUGACGCUCAUGCACGAAAGCGUGGGGAGCAAACAGG